CAAGUCGAGCGCGAAUGGAGCAAUCCUAGUAGAGCGGCGCACGGGGUGCGUAACACGUGGGUAAUCUGCCUGGGAGAUGAGGAUAACCAGUCGAAAGACUGGCUAAUACUCGGUAAGCCCACGGGGACUUCGGUCCCUGAGGGAAAAGGUGGCCUCUGUAUACAAGCUAUCACUUCCAGAUGAGCCCGCGGCCCAUCAGCUAGUUGGCGGGGUAAUGGCCCACCAAGGCAACGACGGGUAGCUGGUCUGAGAGGACGAUCAGCCACACUGGAACUGAGACACGGUCCAGACUCCUACGGGAGGCAGCAGUGAGGAAUAUUGCGCAAUGCCCGAAAGGGUGACGCAGCGACGCCGCGUGAAGGAUGAAGGCCCUCUGGGUCGUAAACUUCUUUGGUAGGGGAAUAACAGGUCGCUACAGGCGGCCGUGAAUGUACCCUAAGAACAAGCAUCGGCUAACUACGUGCCAGCAGCCGCGGUAA
rnacentral:rRNA from 1 species